UACGUAGGGUGCGAGCGUUAAUCGGAAUUACUGGGCGUAAAGCGUGCGCAGGCGGUUCGUUGUGUCCGUCGUGAAAGCCCCGGGCUUAACCUGGGGAACUGCGAUGGAAACUAGCGAGCUGGAGUGUGGCAGAGGGGGGUGGAAUUCCGCGUGUAGCAGUGAAAUGCGUAGAGAUGCGGAGGAACACCGAUGGCGAAGGCAGCCCCCUGGGCUAACACUGACGCUCAGGCACGAAAGCGUGGGGAGCAAACAGG
rnacentral:rRNA from 1 species